CCAGCAAUUAGACAUUUAUAUAACUUCAGUAAUUACAUUUGCAGAAACUUCUAUGGGCAUUUCUUUGCAAGGCGCUGGUUCGUUUCAGCAAAAAUAUCAUCAGACCGUCUAUGAUAUGGGGUGUUCAAGCCGUGGCUUUUAAAUGACACAAUAUUCAGUUUAACGUCACUAGGUAGAAUAUAUAAUAAAUAUUUAAACAUCUUACACUCAUUUACCGAAAAAAUUAUCUAAGAGAGAAAAUAUUAUCACGAACAAUCCGGUGGAGAAUAUCUGAAGCACUUUGAAAACGAUAUAAGAACAGAAGAGGAGCAAGUAACAGGGAUAAUAAAAAAGCGAAUGGCCAUGUUGGAUAUUUUGAUAGCGGAAUCCUUCAACGGCGGACUGAGUGACUUAGACAUCAGAGAAGAAGUUGAUACUUUCAUAUUCAAAGUAAAUGUUUCAAUUUCGUUAAAUUACUUAAAAUAA